UUCCUCUAUCUUCUUUCUCCCUCUGUCCUCUUUCUCCCCCCAUAUCCGACGGAAAAAAAAACACACCGCCUCCCAAUCCUCCCCGUCGGUUUCCUCCAAUUCGCCGGCUCCCAUCGUCGUCGUCACGAUGCCGCUGCUGUCUCGCCAAGAAGUCGCGAGGGACUGCGGGUCGCCGUCGCUGGAGUCGCCGUCGGUCGUCGCUUCUGGAGCUGAGGCAACCCAGCCGCUGGAGCGGCCACCCUCCUGCCGUCGCCGGGAGUCCAGCCGCCGGCCAGGCACCGCGCAGCCCCGAACACGCCCGGAACCACCCCGAAACGUCCCGCGAUAUACGUUAUUAUUAUAAAGUUAAGUUCUUUCGUACUUUCGAUUACAUACGACGAUUAUUCGAUUUGUUUCAAUUGCUAAUUGGUUGAGUUGGUUAUGGAAAGGAAUUAUGGAAUUGAUAUAUGCAAGCUACCAUUUACUCAUGCUUUAAGAUUUAGAAAAGUGUAUACCUCAAAAAAAUGGUUGAUUUUGGUGGUGAAUGGACAAGAAUGUGUAAUGUGGGGAGUUAGAGAAGAGCAUAAAUUGAGAAGUGGUGGUGACUCUUGGUUUGUGGGCAUUGAUGGUGGAAGAUAGAAGGUGAAGGAGUUGGAGAAGAUGAAAAGUGGAAAGUCUCCAUGGGUGGGGGGAUGGAAUCGGCCGAGAGGUGGAAGGAAGAAAAAAUCCUUGGGCUUGCUCCCAUUUCCUUGGACAGAUUUGGGCUUCAAUUAAUUUAAUUACAUGUUGUUGGGCUCAAGUGUUGUAAGCCCAAGUUGGUGUUACUAUUAUUAUUUAGUGGAUUUAAAAUAAUUAGGGUCCAAGCUAUUUUGUAGGUAGAUAAUUGGACUCUAAUUAAAUUUGCAAAGCCCAAAAUAAAUUCAUACUUUAUAUUUUCGUAUUUUCCUUCGAUAAUUAAAA